GCCCAAAUUACCCCAUCUUAUCCAGGGAGGUACGGCAAGAAAAAACAAUAACAAGGACCUUUGGGUUCGUAAAUGGAAUGAGUUAAGUUUAAACCCCCUUUACAAGUAUCAAUGGGAGGGCAAGUUUGGGUCCCAGCAGGCCGCCGGUAAUUCCAGCUACCAAUAGCGUAUAUUAAAAGUUGUUGCAGUUAAAAAGCUCGUAGUUGGAUUUCUGUUAAUAAUUUAUAUAAAAUAUUUUGAUGAAUAUUUAUAUAAUAUUAACAUAAUUCAUAUUACUAUAUAUUUUAGUAUAUGAAAUUUUACUUUGAGAAAAUUAGAGUGCUUAAAGCAGGCAUAUGCCUUGAAUACUCCAGCAUGGAAUAAUAUUAAAGAUUUUUAUCCUUCUUAUUGGUUCUAAGAUAAGAAUAAUGAUUAAUAGGGACAGUUGGGGGCAUUUGUAUUUAACAGUCAGAGGUGAAAUUCUUAGAUUUGUUAAAGACAAACUAAUGCGAAAGCAUUUGCCAAGGAUGUUUUCAUUAAUCAAGAACGAAAGUUAGGGGAUCGAAGACGAUCAGAUACCGUCGUAGUCUAACCUAAACUAGCCCAAC
rnacentral:rRNA from 1 species